GACGAACGCUGGCGGCGUGCCUAAUACAUGCAAGUUGAGCGCUGAAGGUUGGUACUUGUACCAACUGGAUGAGCAGCGAACGGGUGAGUAACGCGUGGGGAAUCUGCCUUUGAGCGGGGGACAACAUUUGGAAACGAAUGCUAAUACCGCAUAAAAACUUUAAACACAAGUUUUAAGUUUGAAAGAUGCAAUUGCAUCACUCAAAGAUGAUCCCGCGUUGUAUUAGCUAGUUGGUGAGGUAAAGGCUCACCAAGGCGAUGAUACAUAGCCGACCUGAGAGGGGGGUCGGCCACAUUGGGACUGGGACACGGCCCAAACUCCUACGGGAGGCAGCAGGAGGGGAUCUUCGGCAAUGGACGAAAGUCUGACCGAGCAACGCCGCGUGAGGGAAGAAGGUUUUCGGAUCGUAAAACUCUGUUGGUAGAGAAGAACGUUGGUGAGAGUGGAAAGCUCAUCAAGUGACGGUAACUACCCAGAAAGGGACGGCUAACUACGUG
rnacentral:rRNA from 1 species